UGGGGAAUUUUGGACAAUGGGCGAAAGCCUGAUCCAGCAAUGCCGCGUGUGUGAAGAAGGCCUUCGGGUUGUAAAGCACUUUUGUCCGGAAAGAAAUCCUUGGCUCUAAUACAGUCGGGGGAUGACGGUACCGGAAGAAUAAGCACCGGCUAACUACGUGCCAGCAGCCGCGGUAAUACGUAGGGUGCAAGCGUUAAUCGGAAUUACUGGGCGUAAAGCGUGCGCAGGCGGUUUGCUAAGACCGAUGUGAAAUCCCCGGGCUCAACCUGGGAACUGCAUUGGUGACUGGCAGGCUAGAGUAUGACAGAGGGGGGUAGAAUUCCACGUGUAGCAGUGAAAUGCGUAGAGAUGCGGAGGAAUACCGAUGGCGAAGGCAGCCCCCUGGGCCAAUACUGACGCUCAUGCACGAAAGCGUGGGGAGCAAAACAGGAUUAGAUACCCUGGUAGUCCACGCCCUAAAACGAUGUCAACUAGUUGUUGGGGAUUCAUUUCCUUAGUAACGUAGCUAACGCGUGAAGUUGACCGCCU
rnacentral:rRNA from 1 species